rnacentral:rRNA from 1 species
UGCGUAGGUGGGCAGGUAAGUCAGUGGUGAAAUCUCCGGGCUUAACUCGGAAACUGCCAUUGGUACUAUCUGUCUUGAAUACCGUGGAGGUCAGCGGAAUAUGUCAUGUAGCGGUGAAAUGCUUAGAUAUGACAUAGAACACCAAUUGCGAAGGCAGCUGGCUACACGAAUAUUGACACUGAUGCACGAAAGCGUGGGGAUCAAACA